rnacentral:misc_RNA from 1 species
UCCCAUCAGAAUCCGGCUCAAAUUGAGGCACUUUGUACAGUGAGCAUUGCUGGCUGGAUUUGCAGAUUAGUGGUUAGCAUAGUUUAGUUGCUUUGCUUUUGCUCAAACAUGAGAACUUGAAAAUUUUCCUUGUUCUACUUGUUUAUUUCAAGUGCAAAGCUUGUCAUGUGAGAACUUUCAUGAUUGAGAGCAAUUAAAUGUAUCAUGGCCUAAGAGAGUGAUGCCAGAGAGAACAUUUAUUGUUGUUGUAGUGAUUUCAGGUUGUUGAAGCUAGAGAUAGAGUUCUGUUUCUUCUAUUUUGCUAGUUGUAUUGUAUUGCAGCAGCUCUGUCAAAAUAAA